UCUGACACGCUGACGCCGUCUGGUGGAUGGCUUGGCUUGAGAGACUAUGAAGGGCGUGGCAAGCUGCGAUAAGCUCUGGGUAGGCGCAGGCAGCCUUUGAUCCAGAGAUACCCGAAUGGGACUUCCUAUCAGAAUGUCUUCGGGCAUACUGAUGAUCCGUAAGGAUUGUGAACCCUCCGAAUUGAAGCAUCUUAGUAGGAGGAGGAAAAGAAAUCAAUUGAGAUCCCCUUAUUAGCGGCGAGCGAAACGGGGUCUGCCCAAUCUGAAUCCUGUAAAGUGAUUUGUAGGAGAUGUGGGGUAUGCUAACAGUGUUUGCUUCUCUCAUUUUUUUGAAUUGAAGUGGUCUGGAAAGACCUAACAAAGAGGGUGAUAUUCUCGUAGGUUUAAGAAUAAGAGUGAUGUGCUGUUAGCUAGAGUACCUGGCCUCGGCAAUGGCUAGGGAAUAUGGGGGAAAGCAGCCUCCAAGGCUAAAUACUUCUCAAGACCGAUAGUGUAAUAGUACCGUGAGGUAAAGCUGAAAAGUACCCUGAAAGGGGAGUGAAAAGUGACUGAAACCAGACGGUUACAGACGUGUAUUGCCUGAAAGGGGUUUACUGGUUUUCUUGAUCGUCCUUCGGGAUGGUCUUAUGGAGACCUAUUAUGACCCCAGGGUGAUACUUUCCGUCUAGAAACACGGGCCAGGGAGUUUAUUGUCAUGGCAAGCCUAAGGGCUUAAAGCCUGAAAGCGAAGGGAAACCAACAUUUCGCAGCAGUAUUUUUACUGUGAGGAAAGGGGUCUGAAAGGGCCUUUAGUCAUGGCGAUAAGACUAGAAACCGGACGAUCGUGCCCUGAGUUGGAUGAAGCUGGGCGAAAGCCUGGUGGAGGUCCUAAGGGGUCCUGACGUGCAACUCGGUCCUGUAACUUGGGGCAAGGGGCCAAAAGCCAAUCUAGUUCGGUGAUAGCUAGUUCCUACCGAAGCGGGUCGUAGCCCGGCCUAGGCAGACGUUGCCAACGCUGUAGAGCACCGAUGUGAAAGUAAGGGAUCGAAAGAUCCUCCUUUCGUUUCGAACUCCGAAGGUGUUGGUGCGGUAGAAGCCUGGAUGCGGGUUUGUGUGGGGUAAGCCUCACAACCGAGAGGGGGACAACCCAGACUGGAGUUAAGGCCCCUAAAUAUCGACUAAGUGUCAAACAAAAGGGCGUCUUUGAGCCAAGACAGCAGGAAGAUAGGCUUAGAACCAGCCAUUCUUUAAAGAGUGCGUAACAGCUCACCUGCCGAGCUUGGGGGCCCCGAAAAUGGACGGGGCUAAAGUCGAUUGCCGAUACUCUGGACCACAAGUUAUUCUUGUGUGUGGUAGGUAGGCGUAGAGGUUGGGUAGAAGUAGGGCUGUGAAGUCCUGUGGACCGAUUUCUAUUGUAGAUCCUGGCGGUAGUAGCAGCGUAGUUGGGUGAGAAUCCCGACCACCGUAUGGGCAAGGUUUUCCUGGCAACGCGUCGUCGACCAGGAGUUAGCCGAUCCUAAGUGUAAUCCCAAAGGUUUUACACGAAAAGGGAAACCGGUUAAUAUUCCGGUGCCCUAGAGAUUCCGUGCACUUUGUGCAGAUUUAGCUUCGCUUUCUUCGAGAUAGGGUGAACAAGGUUGUCGCCUUGUUUAAUUGUUCGAGAUUGGGGGAGUGUCGUAAUGACGAGAACCCAUUCGAGGCGAGAAUAGCCGGCCGUAUGGUUGGUUCAUUUGAAUCUGGGAGACACUGAAAACGGAGUUGAUGAGGAAUCUUUAGGUUCGUACCCAGAACCGACACAGGUGCCCUAGUUGAAUAGACUUCGGUGUAUCGGGUAUAUAGUAGGCGAGGGAAUUCGGCAAAUUAGCCCCGUACCUUCGGUAUAAGGGGUGCCUGCUGUUUUUGUGAGAAACAGGGACAGCAGGUCGCAGUGACAAGGGGGUCCCGACUGUUUAAUAAAAACACAGGAAGCUGCUAGCCCGAAAGGGUGUGUAUAGCUUUUGAAUCCUGGCCAGCAACGGUACCUAAAACCUGGGUUCAACUGGGCUAAGGGCCGUUUAGCGCCGGGAGUAACUCUGACUCUCUUAAGGUAGCCAAAUGCCUUGUCGGGUAAGUUCCGACGUGCAUGAAUGGAACAACGAGGGCCCUACUGUCCCCGUCUACUACCCGGCGAACCCACGUAACGUGGACGAACAGUCCACGAACUUCUAUCGGGAAGAGAAGACCCUGUGGAGCUUUACUGCAGCUUGUUGUUGUGAUACGACUAUGAUUGCAGAGUGUAGCUGGGAGUUGUUAUGCACAUACUUUUGGGUAUGUGAUAGACAAAAGUGUAACACCAGCCUCUCAUAGUUUUAUCGCUCACCGGGAAACCGGGACACCGGCAGGUGGGCAGUUUGGCUGGGGCGGCACCCCCUUGAAAAAAUAUCGAGGGGGCCCAAAGGUCGGCUCAGGUGGGACAGAAAUCCACCGUAGAGGGCAAGGCUAAAAGCCGGCCUGACUGGGUUCUCAAAAGCACAGAACCCAGGAGCGAAAGCUUGGCCUAGCGAUCCUCCAGGUCCCCACUGUUGGGGGCUGAAGGUGACAGAAAAGUUACCCCAGGGAUAACAGGCUUGUCGCGGGUGAGAGCUCAAAUCGACCCCGCGGAUUGGUACCUCGAUGUCGGCUCUUCCCAUCCUGGUCCUGCAGCAGGGGCCAAGGGUGGGGCUGCUCGCCCAUCAAAGGGGAACGUGAGCUGGGUUUAGACCGUCGUGAGACAGGUCGGCCUCUAUCUGAUAGAAGCGAUGGCCGUCUGAGGGGAAGUUGUCCUCAGUACGAGAGGAACAGGGCAACGUAGCCUCUGGCGUACCGGUUGUCUGAUAAGGCAGUUGCCGGGCAGCUAAGCUAUUGAGGAUAAGAGCUGAAAGCAUCUAAGCUCGAAGCCUCUCCUGAGAAUAGACCGCCUUCCACAUUUCUACUUCUUUCGGGAAGUAGGUGUGGACAAGAGCUGGGAAAGAAGAUCCCGUUGAUGGGGCAGAGGUGUAAUCUGAAAGGCUUCGGCCGAUCAGUUCAGCCUGCUGCUCCCAAUCGCUCAAGGUGUCAGA
rnacentral:rRNA from 1 species